AACCAUAGAAACCUGCGGAGUACCUGCGGAGGGAUCAUUACAGAGUUCGUGCCCUCGCGGGUAGAUCUCCCACCCUUGUGUAUUUUCUACAUCUUGUUGCUUUGGCAGGCCGUUGGUUCGCCAACCACCGGCUCGCGGGCUGGUGCGUGCCUGCCAGAGGACCUCUCAAACUCGGUUUGUUAGUGUCGUCUGAGUACCAUAACAAUCGUUAAAACUUUCAGCAAUGGAUCUCAGAUCGGA
rnacentral:misc_RNA from 1 species